AGGGGUGUAGUUCAGUUGGAAGAACAGUGGUCUCCAAAACCAUAUGUCAGGGGUUCGAUUCCCUUCACUCCUGCCA
rnacentral:tRNA from 1 species